CCCCACUGCUAUCGGGAUAGGACUAAGACAUGCUAGUCGAGUGACUCAGGCAAAACGAGUCACGGCACACAGCUCAGUAACACGUGGUUAAUCUGCCCUUAGGACGAGAACAACCCCGGGAAACUGGGGCUAAUUCGCGAUAGGCGAAGAACUCUGGAAUGAGUCUUCACCCAAAAGACACCGCGUUAUCCUCGUGGUGUUGCCUAAGGAUGAGGCCGCGACCGAUCAGGUUGUUGGUGAGGUAAUGGCUCACCAAGCCUUUUACCGGUGCGGGCCGUGGGAGCGGGAGCCCGGAGAUGGGCACUGAGACAAGGGCCCAGGCCCUACGGGGCGCAGCAGUCGCGAAAACUUUGCAAUAAGCGAAAGCUUGACAGGGCUAUCCCGAGUGCCAUCCGCUGAGGAAGGCUUUUACCCAGUCUAGAACGCGGGGGGAAUAAGGAGAGGGCAAGUCUGGUGUCAGCCGCCGCGGUAAUACCAGCUCUCCGAGUGGUGUGGAUGUUUAUUGGGCCUAAAGCAUCCGUAGCUGGCUAGGUAAGUCCCUUGUUAAAUCCACCGAAUUAAUCGUUGGAUUGCGGGGGAUACUGCUUGGCUAGGGGACGAGAGAGGCAGACGGUAUUUUCGGGGUAGGGGUGAAAUCCUAUAAUCCCGGGAAGACCACCAGUGGCGAAGGCUGUCUGCUAGAACGCGCCCGACGGUGAGGGAUGAAAGCUGGGGGAGCGAACCGGAUUAGAUACCCGGGUAGUCCCAGCUGUAAACGAUGCAGACUAGGUGUUUGGACGGCCACGUGCCGUUCUAGUGCCGCAGGGAAGCUGUUAAGUCUGCCGCCUGGGGAGUACGAUCGCAAGAUUGAAACUUAAAGGAAUUGGCGGGGGAGCACCACAAGGGGUGAAGCUUGCGGUUU
rnacentral:rRNA from 1 species